UGAGAGACUUCUUUGAUUGCUAGCUGAAUUUCAACUUCUGAAUUAAAUAUUGCCUUCAUAUGAUGGGUCGUUGGUCGAUCAAAAUCAAGUCCAGCUCAUGCAUUUCUGGCAUUUACAUAAAAUACUCUUCUCAGUCCUUUCCACCAAAAAAACAAAAGCACAAUAAUGCAAUGGUUUGGUCAAUGAAGAUACCUUGAUCGACAUGAUAAGGUCUUGCUUCUUGGCAUUCCUGCUAAAGAUUUAUCAUCUCCGUUCGACUGUUUAAGGGGAGUAAUAAGGAGAAGAUUAAGAUGGAAAGGGCUGUAAUCUCCUUUGUCGUAAACAGGAUUGGUGACCAACUCAUGGAAGAAGCAAUUUUCUUGAAGGAGGUGCGCCCACGAAUUGAGAGGCUGCAUAGAGAUCUGAAGGCGAUCAACUGCUUCUUAGAAGCAGCAGAUGCGAAGCAAGAGGAAGACCCAAGAGUGCGUAACUGGGUUUCGGACAUCCGAGAUGUUGCUUAUGAUGCUGAGGACGUUGUCGACAUGUUCAUCCUUAAGGCUGAGGCCCUGAGGAGAAAAAUCUUUGUCAAGCGCAUUUUCCAAAAGCCCGUGUAUCUGCAUAAUCUUGGCAAGAAAAUUGAUGAGAUCCAAACCAACCUCCAUGACAUCUCAAGGAGGCGAGAAAUCCUGGGAAUAAAAAAUAUUGGAGUAGGAACAAGUACUUCAAGUAAGAUGCUGCAGAAUCUAAGACGGACCACUCCUCGCGCCGAAAAACAUGUCAUUGUGGGCCUGAAUGAAGAAGCAAAUAAGCUAGUGGAGCAGCUGACCACGGGGGACCCAAGGCGCCGCGUGGUUUCUAUGGUAGGAAUGGGCGGCAUCGGCAAAACUACUCUUGCCAAGAAAGUCUAUAAUCAUAGCAGAGUUAUGGAUCAUUUUCAGUCUUGUCGUGUCUGGGUUUAUGUAUCCGAAGAUUGUAGACCCAGGAAUAUUUUUCAGCAAAUUCUAAACCAACUUCUUCAUAACCCAAAGCAGAUAGAGAAAUUGCAGGAGAACGAGUUGGAGGAUUUACUUCACGAGCACCUAGAGGAGAAAAGAUUUUUGGUAGUUUUGGAUGACAUAUGGAAAAGUGACGAUUGGAAGUGUCUUGCAAGGGUGUUCCCAGAGGAGAGUAAUGGCAGCAGAUUACUUCUUACAACUCGAAAUAAGGAUGUUGCUUUGCAAGCAGAUGCUCGAAGUGUUCCACAUGACAUGCAGCUUCUCUCGGAAGAAGAGGGUUGGAAGUUGUUUUGUAGAACUGCAAUCCCUGACAAUGUUACUGACGGUUGUCCUCCAGAGUUGAAGGAAUUUGGGGAAAAAAUGGUGAAGAAAUGUGCUGGUUUACCAUUGGCUAUUGUUGUAUUGGGAGGCUUGUUGUCUUCCAAAAAGCAGUUGCCGACUAUGUGGGAAGAAGUGUUCAACAAACUCCGGGUGCACUUUGCCGCACGCAAUGGAGUAGAUGCAAUAUUGAGCUUAAGCUACAUCGAUCUGCCCCACAACUUGAAAUCGUGCUUUCUUUAUCUAGGCCUCUUUCCAGAAGAUCAGGUAAUCUCCAAGAGAACAUUACUGCUUCUAUGGAUGGCUGAGGGUUUUAUCCCACAGCAAGAUGAACAAAGACUGGAGGACACUGCUGAGGAUUAUUUGAAUGAGUUAAUCAAUAGAAACUUGGUUCAAGCGGUAGCAGUGAGUGUUAAUGAGAGAGUUACAGAAUGCCGGAUUCAUGAUCUAGUACGGGAUUUAUGCAUAAAAAAAGCCAAGGAGCAAAACUUUGUUGAGAUUCAAAAGGACAUAGUUUCUCUUCCCUCAACUACUUCAUCUUUUCCUUUCACCAAAUCCCGUCGACUAGGUAUUUAUUUGGACUUGGAGAGGUAUGCUUCCAGAGAACAUUCAACCCCAUAUAUUCGGUCUCUCUUCUUUUUUGUACUCCAACGUAGUCCCCAUAGUCGAUAUUAUGGGAUACUAUCAUGGUUAGAUUUUAUUUACAAAUAUUUCAAAUUACUUAGAGUGUUAGACUUGGGAAAUGUAAAGAUCUAUGAGCCACCAAAUUCAUUUGGGAAACUAGUUCAUUUAAGGUACUUGAGAUUAACAGCGCAUAGGUAUUCAAACUGUCCACCUUCUUGUUUGGGGAGUUUGCAGGACUGUGUAAACUUUCCAACCUCCUUAGAUGAGCUAAGGAGUUUACAGACUUUGGAUAUAUGUAUUUCUAAAGGAACACCAACUAUGAUAGAGAAAAUGAAAAAUCUACGACACCUUUUCCUCUCGUAUGAUAGAGAAGAUGACAAGCCAUUACGGAUUGACAAUCUAAGAAAUCUCCAAACUCUGUCCGGAAUAUGGUUUAGUGAUUGGCAACAAAAUGACACAAGUGACUUAACUAGCCUUCGGAAACUGAAAAUAAAAAUGGAUGACGCGAUAGUGGUCGAGUUUUCAAACUCCAUUGCUAAGCUUGAGAAUCUUCGCUCCUUGUAUCUUAAGGCAUCACAUUUCUCCGGGGUUCCAUCCUUCGACAUGAGCUCUUUGCUACAUCUAUCUAAGCUGCAUAUGGAAAGAUCCAUAGGGCAAUUACAUGAGUUCCCACCAAAUCUAACACAGCUGACCUUAGAAGAUACUGAGCUAGACUAUGACCCAAUGGUGAUUUUGGAGAAGCUACCAAAAUUGUUGACUUUAAGAUUAAGAAUGUGGUCAUACCGUGGAUGGGAAAUGCAAGUAUCUGCAGGUGGCUUUCCUCAACUCAAAAUCCUUCAACUUUCUGACUUAUACGGACCGAUGAAGUUGUUGAUUAUAGAGAAGGGUGGCAUGACAAACCUUACUCAGUUACAGAUUUUUAGAAGUGUCUUGGACAUCUAUGGACUUGGUGAGCUCUUACAUCUGAAGAGGAUAGAUGUCAUUGAUAUAUCUCCACAUUCUCAUCGCUGGAUUUCUUCUUUACCCUGUUCUUCUGAAUGGCAAGAUAUAAGAAGCAAGACGGAAGAAGGCAAGGAUAUAUGGCACUUAUACCGGCAAUGAUUCUUGGGGUUAUAUGCAGCAGCACAAUUGAUUUUAGAUAAUGAAGUCAAAUGAUAAACCAAGGUAGCUAGAGAUUGAGAAUCCAAUGGAGUGGUUUUUCCACAAGAGAAGGGGACCAGAGUGGAAACAUGGGUGGACAGGCCAGACCCUCAACAACAUCUCCACACCACCUCUCCCAUUGCUAGCCAUUUUUGCCAUUGUCAUUCUCUUGUGGUCACUCUCCAAUUACACAAGCUACAAGGCCCAAUUAUACCAAACUACCAACAACUUCCAGCUAUUCCUCUUCUUGUUGCCCAUCCUCUUCAUCUUCCUCAUUGCCUCCUCCUCCUCUGAUGGGAGGCCUAGUUUCCAGGCUCCAAAUCCACAUCAUGAGUCCAAUCACAGAGCUGGGAGCUUUCCUUGGGGUGUUGCUGUCCUGGUGGGGGUGCUUCUUGUCUUGGUCUCUUACCAAUCUCUAUUUCAAUCAAAGUGGUUUGGAGCUCUCAGGAGUUCUGUUUAGUCAAAGAAACUCCGGUACUUUCUACAUAUGACAAUAAGGAUGCCUUACUUGUCAUUGUAAGGCCAGUGAAUGUACAUAUUUUGGGUUUGAUUAUGGUAUCUAUUGGGUUUCUUCUCUUUUGGGUUUUGUAAUAUGACUCAUAUUUAAGUCCUGUGUGGUAUGAUUUGUAGCAUGGUGGCACAAAGUUCAAGUGAUGGGUUUUGUAUAUUUCUUGUUUUCUCUUCAACAAGACAUACAUAAAAGUGACUAAUCCAUCUUCUUCUU